rnacentral:sRNA from 1 species
AAAAUUCGCGAUAGCGGUCCUCGGCAUUGCCGCGCACGGCAUGCUGCAGCGACGCGA